UACAGAGGGUGCAAGCGUUGCUCGGAAUCAUUGGGCGUAAAGCGCGUGUAGGCGGCCUGCUAAGUCUGAUGUGAAAGCCCGAGGCUCACCCUCGGAAGUGCAUUGGAAACUGGCAGACUGGAGUCCCGGAGAGGAGGGUGGAAUUCCUGGUGUAGCGGUGAAAUGCGUAGAUAUCAGGAGGAACACCGGUGGCGAAGGCGGCCCUCUGGACGGUGACUGACGCUGAGACGCGAAAGCGUGGGGAGCAAACAGG
rnacentral:rRNA from 1 species